rnacentral:lncRNA from 1 species
CGGAGCUGUUUACCACAUCCAUCGCCUAUCGAUCGGGGUCAGUUUUUUUUUUAUUUAUAUGAAACUGGUGGGGCCGCAGCCCCUUCAGGAAUUUAUUAAAAGGAAACAAGGGUAAGAAAUAGGAAAACAGGAAAAGAAACUUAGGUCUUGUUUAGUUUCGAAAAGUGAAAAGAUUUCGGUACUGUAGCAAAUUCGUUUGUUUGUGACAAAUAUUAUCUAAUUAUGGACUAACUAGGAUCAAAAGAUUCGUCUCGUGAUUUACAGCUAAACUGUGUAAUUAGUUUUUGUUUUUGUCUAUAUUUAAUGUUUCAUACAUGUGUCACAAGAUUCGAUGUGACGGGG